UACUUAUUUUGGCAAUAAAAGUUAAAUAUCACCAUUGACCAAAAAAUAAAACAUCCAUAUUGACCGACCACCCCCGUGUAUCUGCAAGAAAUGGUUUGGUCCUGCUUUAGCGCACUCAUCAGUGACGGGGUUUAGUUAGUUGCAGACAGUGAAUCAAUGCAUUGCGCGCUAGAAAUACAGAGACCAUAAUGUUGAGUAGUAAAAUAAAAUCUGGUUUUCAGAAAAGGAAAGAGAGUAAAGAGAGAGAGGAAAGACAAAAGAAAGGGUGUCGUUCUGUAUCCCAGUUUUUCAACAAGAAAGGCCUUUUAAGUUUGAAUUAGCCAGCUGGGCCUCUGGAAGGCCUGGUUCCUGACCCUUAACAUUUGCACUGUAAACCUGACCGACAGCAGGAGGAGACACUGGCUGGCUGAUGUGCCACUCACCCAAUCUUCAAGCAAACAUCAGGCUCACCUACAGGGUUCCACUGCAGAUUUUGGCCUGCUGGUUGUUGGGGUGGUUGUCAUGGGUGGAGUCAAACAUCUGGACAACAGAGGAUCGGAAAACCCGAGAACACUCUUGAAAUGGCAACAGGAAACAAGGAGAAAUGAAGUGAGCUCCGUGCCAGAGGCUCUUUAGAGAUCCAAGAGUCCCAUCAGCAGUAGCGCAGAAGGGUCCAUAAACCCAGCGGUCUCCACUCAAGUUUCCAUCUGCUAAAUUCUAGUCUGGUUAAAUAAGAGGCGGAAACUUUUUCCAGCAGAGACCACUAUAACUACUGUACUGAGAUCAGUGGGACAGCUAGACGUGAGAAUUGGCUUCAACAUCCAUGACCUUCAGAGAGAAACAGAGAGCUGAAUGUGCAUACAGUAACUGCUCUACAAAUCAGGAAAUUAUGUAUUAAAAGGUUUCUGUUUCCUCGUGUCUCAGAGAACCAGAGGACAAGCUCUGCCCUGUCAAACUCAAUCUGCUCCAUCUCCUUGAGUCUGGGACAAUAAGAACGUCUCCACCAAGAUCCUGGAUCACUGACAAACAAAGCAUUGCACUGGCAUGACAGAAAAGUGAUAACAGGACAGCUAUAUCUCCUUCUGGUGCAUGACUGCUCGAGCUUGUUACACAUCAUUCAACUUGUCUCUUUACUUGAUUUUCUUUCAAAGACCUCUUUCUUGUCCUUAUUUCUUCUCUUUCUUUAUUUUAGAGCAGAUAGCUGCUCAAGACAGUGGAUAUGCACACAUAGACAGAGUUUCACCGAGAUGGAUGUAGGAUGAUGGUAUGAUAUCAAUGUUUGCGGUAGGAGGAUGAGUGGGCAGAACAAUAUGGCUGCCCUGUCAGUUGUUUUUUUUUGUUGUUGCCAAAUUGUUGGUUGAAGCUGAGUGGACAGAGUUUAGCAAGAAAGAGAUUGUUUUACGUUGAGGAUUGUUCGGCUUUUAUUCCUGUUAUGUGGGUGGAACUAGAAGUAUUAACAGGCCAUUUCCGAUACUGUCCUCCUCAGCUUUUAAUCAGCUUUAUCACGCCUCGCUUAUGUCUGAGUAAUGCGUGAUGACACAGUUCAUCUGAGGUUUCGGAGAACUCACACCACACUGAUAUAUUCUGCAGUGAGUUCAUCUGGGCAUGGCAACCACGUGAAACGGCAAAAGAUUUCCCUUUAGCCAUACAGUCUACAUUUUUAAGUUAUAUUGUUGACUCUUAAUGGAAUUUAUAGAU